UGAGGAUGAAGAAGAGGGUAUGAACUUUGAUUGUUCUGAGUUUUUCGUAUAUUUGUUGUUUACCGUGUGGUUACAGGUGAAUGUUUAGAAUAUUGGUGAUUUCAAAUUAGGGUUUCCUACGUGGCAUUGUUUGAUAUUGAUGUGAACUAUCAUACAAUUGCUCUUUCGGGCAGGCUGUGCAUAAUGGUAACGAAUUUAUCAAACUGUGUCUAGACCUUGCUCUUUUAGUACUGAUUUUGUUCAAUUUGAGAUAUGUUGAUUUGAGAAUAUGUGCAUUUAUGGAUUUAUGGGUGGGUAGGACUUUCCAUCAAGUUCACAUUUGGAUUUCUUUCCUUUUAUACCAGAUUGCUCUUGCAUUCUUGCUUGGACAGUGAACCUGGUCUUGAGACAUAUCCUGACAUUUGUGAAGCUGCUUUUGGUACUACUGGAUGUAUUGCCAUUUUAAUAGUAUUGUAUGUCAAGUUAUAUGCAAGGAUGUUGCAUUGAGUAUAUAAUUUUGGAAGGUGACAACUUGGCAUCCUUGUUUCCAAAUGC